AACGAACGCUGGUGGCAUGCCUAACACAUGCAAGUCGAACGAGACCUUCGGGUCUAGUGGCGCACGGGUGCGUAACGCGUGGGAACCUGCCCUUAGGUUCGGAAUAACUCCCCGAAAGGGGUGCUAAUACCGGAUAAUGUCUUCGGACCAAAGAUUUAUCGCCUUUGGAUGGGCCCGCGUUGGAUUAGCUAGUUGGUAGGGUAAAAGCCUACCAAGGCGACGAUCCAUAGCUGGUCUGAGAGGAUGAUCAGCCACACUGGGACUGAGACACGGCCCAGACUCCUACGGGAGGCAGCAGUGGGGAAUAUUGGACAAUGGGCGAAAGCCUGAUCCAGCAAUGCCGCGUGAGUGAUGAAGGCCUUAGGGUUGUAAAGCUCUUUUACCCGGGAUGAUAAUGACAGUACCGGGAGAAUAAGCGCCGGCUAACUCCGUG
rnacentral:rRNA from 1 species